rnacentral:rRNA from 1 species
UAGAUAAAAAGCCAGUUCAUGCUUUUACAGUAUGAAAAUUGGUGAUUUAUAAUAACUUAGCAAAUCGCAAAGUGAAAACAGGCGAUAAAUCAUUCAAGUUUCUGACCUAUCAGCUUUCGACGGUAUGGUAUUGGCUUACCGUGGCAGUGACGGUUAACGGGGGAUUAGGGUUCGAUUCCGGAGAGGGAGCCUGAGAAACGGCUACCACAUCUAAGGAAGGCAGCAGGCGCGCAAAUUACCCAAUUCUAACAGUUUGAGAGAGGUAGUAACAAGAAAUAACAAUACAAGGCAGUUAAAAUGCUUUGUAAUUGGAAUGAUAGAAAUUUAAACCCUUUUUAAAGUAUCAAUUGGAGGGCAAGUCUGGUGCCAGCAGCCGCGGUAAUUCCAGCUCCAAUAGCGUAUAUUAAAAUUGUUGCAGUUAAAAAGCUCGUAGUUGAAGUUCUGCUGAAAGUAACCGGUCUGCUUUUAAUAAAAGUGGUAUCUUGGUAUGUAUUUAGCAAUGAUGUCCUUUGAAGUGUUUUUUACUUUAUUGUAAUAAAGCAUAUUCAGGACUUUUACUUUGAGAAAAUUAGAGUGUUUCUAGCAGGCUAACGCUUUGAAUACUGCAGCAUGGAAAUAAUAAGAAA